AGUUCAAGCCCCACGCCCAGUGUGGAGUCUACUAAAUAAUAAACAAAUAAUGGCAAACUCCUUCUAACCUCAUCCCAUGUUCCAAAGACAUUUAUUCUCAUGAAGAGGGAGAAGCAGACUCCCUGCUGAGCAGGGAGCCCGAUGCGGGACUCGAU